GUUCCCAUAGUGUAGUGAUUAUCACGUUCGCCUAACACGCGAAAGGUCCUUGCUUCGAAACCGGGCGGGAACA